GGACGCUUAGCUCAGUGGUAGAGCGCUUCGUUUACAUCGAAGAUGUCAGGGGUUCAAGUCCCUUAGCGUCCACCG
rnacentral:tRNA from 1 species